CCUUGAUUUAAGGUGUAGCCUGCCCCGUGAUAAAUGGCCGCGGUACUCUGACCGUGCUAAGGUAGCAUAAUCAAUUGACUUUUAAAUGAAGUCUGGAAUGAAUGGCUGGGGGUGAGCUGUCUCUACCUUAAUUUGUUGAAAUUACUUUUUAGGUGAAAAAGCCUAAUAAACUGAAAAAGACGAGAAGACCCUAGGAGUUUAUUUUUUGUUGGGGCGACAAGGGAUCCCUUAUAAAACUAAUCUACAAGUCGAAAUUAUAAGAAAGGGUAAACUACCCUAGGGAUAACAGCAUUAAUUAAGUUUGUGACCUCGAUGUUGGACUAGGGCAGACAUAGGCGAGUUGCCUAUGUUCUAGGUUCUGUUCGAACUUUGACCC
rnacentral:rRNA from 1 species